rnacentral:rRNA from 1 species
UACGUAGGGGGCUAGCGUUGUCCGGAAUCAUUGGGCGUAAAGAGCGUGUAGGCGGCCCGGUAAGUCCGCUGUGAAAGUCGGGGGCUCAACCCUCGAAUGCCGGUGGAUACUGUCGGGCUAGAGUGCGGAAGAGGCGAGUGGAAUUCCUGGUGUAGCGGUGAAAUGCGCAGAUAUCAGGAGGAACACCAGCGGCGAAGGCGGCGCUCUGGGCCGGUACUGACACUGAGGAGCGAAAGCGUGGGGAGCAAGCAGG